AGAGUUUGAUUGUGGCUCGGAUUGAACGCUGGCGGCAGGCCUAAUACAUGCUAGUCGAGCGGAUGAAGAGAGCUUGCUCUCUGAUUCAUCGGCAGACGGGUGAGUAAUGCCUAAGAAUCUGCCUGAUAGUGGGGGACAACGUUUCGAAAGGAACGCUAAUACCGCAUACGUCCUACGGGAGAAAGCAGGGGCCUUCGGGCCUUGCGCUAUCAGAUGAUCCUAGGUCGGAUUAGCUAGUUGGUGAGGUAACGGCCCACCAAGGCGACGAUCCGUAACUGGUCUGAGAGGAUGAUCAGUCACACUGGAACUGAGACACGGUCCAGACUCCUACAGGAGGCAGCAGUGGGGAAUAUUGGACAAUGGGCGAAAGCCUGAUCCAGCCAUGCCGCGUGUGUGAAGAAGGUCUUCGGAGUGUAAAGCACUUUAAGUUGGGAGGAAUGGCAUUAACCUAAUACGUUACUGUUUUGACGUUACCGACAGAAUAAGCACCGGCUAACUUCGUGCCAUCAGCCGCGGUAAUACGAAGGGUGCAAUCGUUAAUCGGAAUUACUGGGCAUAAUGCGCGCGUAGGUGGUUUGUUAAGUAGAAUGUGAAAGCCCCGGGCUCAACCUGGGAACUGCAUCCAAAACUGGCAAGCUAGAGUAUGGCAGAGGGUGGUGGAAUUUCCUGUGUAGCGGUGAAAUGCGUAGAUAUAGGAAGGAACACCAGUGGCGAAGGCGACCACCUGGGCUAAUACUGACACUGAGGUGCGAAAGCGUGGGGAGCAAACAGGACUAGAUACCGUGGUAGUCCACGCCGUAAACGAUGUCGACUAGCCGUUGGGAUCCUUGAGAUCUUAGUGGCGCAGCUAACGCAUUAAGUCGACCGCCUGGGGAGUACGGCCGCAAGGUUAAAACUCAAAUGAAUUGACGGGGGCCCGCACAAGCGGUGGAGCAUGUGGUUUAAUUCGAAGCAACGCGAAGAACCUUACCAGGCCUUGACAUGCAGAGAACUUUCCAGAGAUGGAUCGGUGCCUUAGGGAACUCUGACACAGGUGCUGCAUGGCUGUAGUCAGCUCGUGUCGUGAGAUGUUGGGUUAAGUCCAGUAACGAGCGCAACCCUCGUCCUUAGUUACCAGCACGUUAAGGUGGGCACUCUAAGGAGACUGCCGGCGACAAACCGGAGGAAGGUGGGGAUGAUGUCAAGUCAUCAUGGCCGUUACGGCCUGGGCUACACACGUGCUACAAUGGUCGGUACAAAGGGUUGCCAAGCCGCGAGGUGGAGCUAAUCCCAUAAAACCGAUGGUAGUCCGGAUCGCAGUGUGCAACUAGACUGCGUGAAGUCGGAAUCGUUAGUAAUCGUGAAUCAGAAUGUCCCGGCGAAUACGUUCCCGGGCCUUGUACACACC
rnacentral:rRNA from 1 species